UACGUAGGCAGCGAGCGUUGUUCGGAAUUACUGGGCGUAAAGAGUGUGUAGGCGGUGCUCUAAGUUCGGUGUGAAAUCUCCUGGCUCAACUGGGAGGGUGCGCCGGAAACUGGAGUGCUUGAGCGUGGGAGAGGAAAGCGGAAUUCCUGGUGUAGCGGUGAAAUGCGUAGAUAUCAGGAGGAACACCAGUGGGCGAAGGCGGCCGGCUGGGGGGUGACCUGACGCUGGAGGCGCGAAAAGCGUGGGGGAGCGAACCGG
rnacentral:rRNA from 1 species